rnacentral:rRNA from 1 species
UACGUAGGGUCCGAGCGUUGUCCGGAAUUAUUGGGCGUAAAGGGCUCGUAGGCGGUUUGUCGCGUCGGGAGUGAAAACACGGGGCUUAACCCCGUGCCUGCUUCCGAUACGGGCAGACUAGAGGUACGCAGGGGAGAACGGAAUUCCUGGUGUAGCGGUGAAAUGCGCAGAUAUCAGGAGGAACACCGGUGGCGAAGGCGGUUCUCUGGGCAUUACCUGACGCUGAGGAGCGAAAGUGUGGGGAGCGAACAGG